rnacentral:lncRNA from 1 species
AAUGCAGGUUUUCAGUGAGAGGCAUGCGGAGGGCCUGGGUGCUAUCAUUUCUCCCAGCUCCCAGGUAAUGCCUAGUCUGUUGGUCUGAGGUUUGAGUAGUGAGGUCUACUACAUUUGUUCUCUGUUUUUCUCCCAAACUGCCUCAACCAUAGACUUUUAUACAAACAGGAAGGUACUGAUUCUCAAACUUGGCUAUACACGGAAACCUCCCUAGGGGCUUUUCACCAACACUGAUGCCUGAGACCUACCCUAGACCAAUUAAAUCACAGUGUCUGGAAGUGGGGCUCUGAGAUUCAACGUGCUAUUGAGUAGUUGCUGUCCUGGGUUUUGGGGGCCAUGGGAGCCCUGCAGACAGCACAUGAACCAGGCAGCCCUGUCCACACCCCUCGUGGGCCUCCCAGUGUGGCGAUAAAGAAGGAAGAGGCUGGGCACGGUGGCUCAUACCUGUAAUUCCAGCACUUUGGGAGGCCGAAGACGGUGGAUCACGAGGUCAGAGAUUCGAGACCAGCCUGGCCAGCAUGGUGAAACCCUGUCUGUACUAAGAAUACAAAAAAUUAGCCAGGUGUCGUGGCGCAUACCUGUAACCCCAGCUACUCGGGAGGCUGAAGCAGGAGAAUUGCUUGAACCCAGGAGGCGGAGGUUACAGUGAAUCAAAAUUGCGCCACUACACUCCAGCCUGGGUAACAAAGUGAGACUCAAAAUAAAUAAAUAAAUAAAUAAAAAGGAGGAGGAAAGCA